CCCAGAUCACUUCAGCUCAUUGAAGCGGUUUGGGUGCAAUGUCCCAGUACCCUUAAACCUGCAAUGAUAAUUAUUGCAGUUUCUGAGAAAACAAUUACCUCUCGGGUUUAAUGCCACCUUUAGUGGCUGCCUAUCAGACAGCCACCAGAGGGACAUCCGGUUGGUCGCCUAACUGACGCUAGACGUUCCCUUGCCGUGCAUGAAUAAAUCCAGCGCCAAUCAAAUCCCAAUAGGAAAGCA